UACGUAGGGUGCGAGCGUUGUCCGGAAUUACUGGGCGUAAAGAGCUCGUAGGCGGUGUGUCGCGUCGGCCGUGAAAACCUGGGGCUUAACUCUGGGCGUGCGGUCGAUACGGGCAUCACUAGAGUUCGGCAGGGGAGACUGGAAUUCUGGUGUAGCGGUGAAAUGCGCAGAUAGUCAGGAGGAAUACCGGUGGCGAAGGCGGCAUCCUGGACCGAUUACUGACGCUGGAGGCGACGAAAGCCUAGGGGAGCAAACGGG
rnacentral:rRNA from 1 species